rnacentral:lncRNA from 1 species
UUGUAGUUUAAAACUAUUGUUUGCAUUUUUUUUUUGCUUGUUAGAGCAUGCGAAUGUAUUUGUAUCAUAUUUUUGAAUCAUUAGACCUAGGAAUAACAAGAGCAGUUCCAAUUUGUUACUUAAAAGAAUCUGAACUAGUAAUAUUUUGGUCCAUAUGUCUUAAGAUAUGCAGAUCAUAAUGAAUUAUCCAGAUUCUCAGUUUGUCCAUGCAUCUUACAUCCCAAUUUAAUCAUUAUCAUUCACUUUUUAAAUCGAUAGGUAAAAUAGUAUAAAAGCAUUCCAUAGUGGGAUUAUAAGUUGUUCAAAUAUUGUAAAUCAUGGCACUUAUGGAGCUCAUAUCUUCUUGGUAGGAAUCUAGGUGUUGAUCUGAAAUUCUCAGACAUGAUCUUGUAUUCAUAAUUUUUGAGUACUGCCCUCUCCGCUUUGCCUUAAAAACUUUAAAUUCCAAUAGCCUGUAAUUUGUCUUCUUUUAAUAAACAUCUUCUUCCAUAAUUUCUUAAAACUUCCUAGUGUCUUCAGAACAUCUAUGUGGUCUAUUUAACUUGUUCCCUCUCUCAUAUUAGCUAGCUUUUGAAUAUCAUUAAAUCUAUCUUUUGAAUUUUGAAACUCAUUAUGAAAAUCAUAAACUCUGCAUACCUCAAUCUAGUUUGCUGCUCCUUUCAAAUUCUUAUACCUUCAAAUUCUUAUGUAUCUCUAGCCUUCUAACAUAUUUUGAAGCUCCUUUUCCACCAGUGGCUACUUUAAUAUGUGAAUUCUGCUUUUGUGCUUGUGCACGCAUCAUCAUGUGAAUUUUCACUUUUCUUUUCCAAUCUUAAAUGCCCAUGGCCAGUAAUUUGCCUUCUUCUAGUUAACACU